rnacentral:rRNA from 1 species
CAAUAGCGUAUAUUUAAGUUGUUGCAGUUAAAAAGCUCGUAGUUGGAUUUCGGGUGGGUGUUAGCGGUCCGGCUCUGCUGUGUACYGCUAGUGCCUAUCUUUCUGUCGGGGACGGGCUCUUGGGCUUCAUUGUCCGGGACUCGGAGUCGACGUGGUUACUUUGAGUAAAUUAGAGUGUUCAAAGCAAGCGUUCGCUGUGAAUACAUUAGCAUGGAAUAACACGAUAGGACUCUGGCUUAUCUUGUUGGUCUGUAAGACCGGAGUAAUGAUUAAGAGGGACAGUCGGGGGCAUUCGUAUUUCAUUGUCAGAGGUGAAAUUCUUGGAUUUAUGAAAG